rnacentral:rRNA from 1 species
UCCUACGGGAGGCAGCAGUGGGGAAUAUUGCACAAUGGGCGCAAGCCGAUGCAGCCAUGCCGCGUGUAUGAAGAAGGCCUUCGGGUUGUAAAGUACUUUCAGCAGUGAGGAAGGGGGUAUCGUUAAUAGCGGUACUCUUUGACGUUAGCUGCAGAAGAAGCACCGGCUAACUCCGUGCCAGCAGCCGCGGUAAUACGGAGGGUGCGAGCGUUAAUCGGAAUUACUGGGCGUAAAGCGCAUGCAGGUGGUUUGUUAAGUCAGAUGUGAAAGCCCGGGGCUCAACCUCGGAAUUGCAUUUGAAACUGGCAGGCUAGAGUACUGUAGAGGGGGGUAGAAUUUCAGGUGUAGCGGUGAAAUGCGUAGAGAUCUGAAGGAAUACCGGUGGCGAAGGCGGCCCCCUGGACAGAUACUGACACUCAGAUGCGAAAGCGUGGGGAGCAAACAGGAUUAGAUACCCUGGUAGUCCACGCCGUAAACGAUGUCUACUUGGAGGUUGUGGCCUUGAGCCGUGGCUUUCGGAGCUAACGCGUUAAGUAGACCGCCUGGGGAGUACGGUCGCAAGAUUAAAACUCAAAUGAAUUGACGGGGGCCCGCACAAGCGGUGGAGCAUGUGGUUUAAUUCGAUGCAACGCGAAGAACCUUACCUACUCUUGA